rnacentral:rRNA from 1 species
UACGUAGGGUGCAAGCGUUGUCCGGAAUUAUUGGGCGUAAAGAGCUCGUAGGCGGUUUGUCACGUCGGAUGUGAAAACCCGAGGCUUAACCUCGGGCCUGCAUUCGAUACGGGCUGACUAGAGUUCGGUAGGGGAGACUGGAAUUCCUGGUGUAGCGGUGAAAUGCGCAGAUAUCAGGAGGAACACCGGUGGCGAAGGCGGGUCUCUGGGCCGAUACUGACGCUGAGGCGCGAAAGCGUGGGGAGCAAACAGG